GAUGAAGAACGUAGCGAAAUGCGAUAAGUAAUGUGAAUUGCAGAAUUCAGUGAAUCAUCGGAUCUUUGAACGCACAUUGCGCCCCCUGGUAUUCCGGGGGGCAUGCCUGUCCGAGCGUCAUUACAACCCUCAAGCUCAGCUUGGUAUUGGGCCCCGCCGACCCGGCGGGCCCUAAAGUCAGUGGCGGUGCCGUCCGGCUCCGAGCGUAGUAAUUCUUCUCGCUCUGGAGGUCCGGUCGUGUGCUCGCCAGCAACCCCCAAUUUUUUUCCGGUUGACCUCGGAUCAGGUAGGGAUACCCGCUGAACUUAAGCAUAUCAAUAAGCGGAGGA
rnacentral:misc_RNA from 1 species